rnacentral:lncRNA from 1 species
GUAUCAGGAAUUCUGCAUUCGUUUAGCAGAAUGGUUCUGGUUCAGUUUCUCAUGAAAUUGUAUUAAAGAUGCCUGUUAAGAAAGCAGACAUUUGAAGGUUUGACUAGGGUGGAAGAUCUUCCAGGAUAGCUUCCUUAACAGGUUGGCAAGUUGGCAUUGGCUACUGGUGGGAGGCCUCAGUUCCUUCUCAUGGCGGCUUCUCCAUACAAUUACUUGUGAGUGUUCAGGGCCCGGUAGCCAGCUUUGAUGCUAGCCUCUUUUAAAAUGAAUGAUACUAGGGAAAACAAAGGAGAUGUCACAAUAUCUAUGACCUAGCCUAGGAAGUCACACACCAUAAUGUCUGCAAUAUUUUAUUAGUUACACAGGUCAGUCCUAUUCAUGGUGAAAGGGACCAACCACAUCAUGGUACAGAUAGCCAGGUGGCAACUGCUGUGGAUCAUCUUGGAGCUUGACCAUCACAAUACGUUCCCACGAUGUACUUUGGCUGGAGUUCCUCAUUUAAUAGUUAAAAGUGUAUAUUUUACACAGCAAUGAAGACAAAAACAAUGGCAGUGGUUGAAAUGGGUCAAACAAACAAGAAGAUGACUUGAACACUGAAACAAAUGAAAUUACCAUGAAAUUACUCAUGUAUUUUGGAAGAGAAACACACAUUCAUUUUCCUUCCCAGGAGGUUUCCAGUGGGCUUUAGGUGAAUACUAAUUUGGGAAAUAAAUAUACUUUUGGUUUUUUGCAGAAUUUGGAAAACAAUUU